rnacentral:tRNA from 2 species
UGGGCGGUAGCCAAAUUGGCAAGGCAUCAGGUUUUGGUCCUGACAUUGUGGUGGUUCGAGUCCACCCCGCCCAGCCA